AGAUAUAGACACACACAACAACAAUUUACAAUAAGAUUGUGCAAAUUUGUUCACACCUGCACAAAUUAGAACAAACCCAUACAAGGACAAACUUAGAACACCAGACAAAGGAAAGGAUGUGAACAUACUAGAGCAAACCUAUGCAAGAACAAACCUAAAACCCAACACAGAGGAAACCAUAAGGAAUAAGAAGUUUUGUUAACUGUUUUUGCGUUAAUUGUAUAUGUAAGACAUAACUUAUUAUAUUCUUUCUUCUUUGCAAUUCAUCAGAUCAUCCGUAUAACUUUGCACUUCAUCAGAACAUCCGUGAAGAAGACACGAUUUCUCAGUGGCUAUUUUAUUGCAGCAAGAAGAAGACAGGAUUUCUCAGUGGCUAUUUUAUUGCAGAAGUGUCACGUAUCACUAGUUUGUAGAUGAACUUCCAAAAGUCAGUCUAGUUGGUCCAGGUUGCAGUGCAGGAGAGUAGCAAUGAUUAGUAAAUUAUUAUUUAGACAGAGAUGACUAUUUUCUCCUAAGUUAUCCUUAUAGAGGCUGAGUCCGCAGCAUGUGGAUUCGGAUGUAAUAUAGGAGCAGGAGUAUUAGUAGUGUGUAGCUUAGAGUAAGACAUGUGAUGCAGGCUUGGGGUUAUAUUGGUAUGUAUCAGAAAGAAUUAUAGGCCCUUGGCAUCCUCUAAAGAGGAUAAAAAAAUUAUGUGCUCUUCAGACUCUGCCAUAACUGAUCCUAAAAUAGAUAUUGUCUAGACAUGAAAGUAGGUUGAGCAGAACAAGCAGAGGUUGAAUUUGAGAAGGAAAAAAUGAAAGUUUAAAAUUUGAUCAUUCUGUGGAUCGAGAGAAGCUUAUUAAUCUUUUUAAAUACAAUGUAUAUAUUAUAUAAAUUAGACAUCAGCUAUGUCAAAAUUUAAAAU
rnacentral:lncRNA from 1 species